ensembl:miRNA
UUAAUGCUAAUCGUGAUAGGGGUUUUUACCUCUGACUGACUCCUACAUGUUAGCAUUAACA